rnacentral:lncRNA from 1 species
AGAUGGAAGAAGAGAGAAUAUGAAUACUCUGUGCACUUUGAUCUUAUCGUUUAGCUGCUGAUCAUACCAUCCCUGGAGUCCUACUUCUGACUCCAAGUUAUGAGAUGUCCCAGUGUUCUCACGUUCCACCAUCAAUCACACUUAACCAAUGUUAAAUCCCUGGUAUGUAUUCUUCCAAAGCAUUUUCUGUGUUAUUACAACAAUAUAUAAA